rnacentral:rRNA from 1 species
UACAGAGGUCUCAAGCGUUGUUCGGAUUCAUUGGGCGUAAAGGGUGUGUAGGCGGCGCGGUAAGUCGGGUGUGAAAUCUCGGAGCUUAACUCCGAAACUGCAUUCGAUACUGCCGUGCUUGAGGACUGGAGAGGAGACUGGAAUUUACGGUGUAGCGGUGAAAUGCGUAGAUAUCAGGAGGAACACCGAUGGCGAAGGCAGGUCUCUGGGCAUUAACUGACGCUGAGGAGCGAAAGCAUGGGGAGCGAACAGG